GAGGGUGUAGCUCAGUGGUAGAGUGCGUGCUUAGCAUGCACGAGGUUCUGGGUUCCAUCCCCAGUCCCUCU
rnacentral:tRNA from 1 species